ACAGAGGGGGCAAGCGUUGUUCGGAAUUACUGGGCGUAAAGGGCGCGUAGGCGGCCUGCUAAGUCGAACGUGAAAUCCCCGGGCUCAACCCGGGGACUGCGUCCGAUACUGGUUGGCUUGAAUCCGGGAGAGGGAUGCGGAAUUCCAGGUGUAGCGGUGAAAUGCGUAGAUAUCUGGAGGAACACCGGUGGCGAAGGCGGCCAUCUGGACGGACACUGACGCUGAGGCGCGAAAGCGUGGGGAGCAAACAGGA
rnacentral:rRNA from 1 species